UACAGAGGUCCCAAGCGUUGUUCGGAUUCACUGGGCGUAAAGGGUGCGCAGGUGGGUUUGCAAGUUCGAUGUGAAAGCCCCGGGCUUAACCCGGGAAUGGCAUUGGAUACUGCAGAUCUGGAGGAUCGGAGGGGGGACUGGAAUUCUUGGUGUAGCAGUGAAAUGCGUAGAUAUCAAGAGGAACACCAGUGGCGAAGGCGAGUCCCUGGACGGUACCUGACACUGAGGCACGAAAGCUAGGGGAGCAAACAGG
rnacentral:rRNA from 1 species